rnacentral:rRNA from 1 species
UACGUAGGGCGCAAGCGUUGUCCGGAAUUAUUGGGCGUAAAGAGCUCGUAGGCGGUUUGUCACGUCGGGCGUGAAAACUCAGGGCUCAACCCUGAGCGUGCGUUCGAUACGGGCAGACUAGAGGUAUGCAGGGGAGAACGGAAUUCCUGGUGUAGCGGUGGAAUGCGCAGAUAUCAGGAGGAACACCGGUGGCGAAGGCGGUUCUCUGGGCAUUACCUGACGCUGAGGAGCGAAAGCAUGGGGAGCGAACAGG